CUCUCCUAAGUCUCCAUCUGACAAAAGGAUGGUUGUGUCUUUCUUUUCUACUCUAAGAUGGAGCUACUGCUGACAGCACUGGGAGAAUUUAAUGUAUCAGUCUUCCUGAGCACAUCUGAAAGACAAUCUGUUUGAAGUGAAAGGGAGAAAACCGAGGAGUAAUGAAUCUUCCAUCUGGAGAAAUAAGAGCAGGUGUAAUAGCAGAUCUAGGAUAUUUAGGCAAGUUGACUAAGAAGGGCAUUAAUUUUUUAAUUAGAAAUUUAGCCUUUUCAAAAUGAAAUGAGUAACCAGUAUUUCCCUCAAUUAUUCUCUUCUCCCUAAUUCAAGCACAGGAACUCACAAAUCAAUUAUUCUCCUAUUCAUAAUUCUUACUGUUUGUCUGAGAUCCCAGUGGAAGAGCCCAGGUCAGAGAUAACCUGGGCGAUUUAACCAUGUCUAAGAGGUAGGUGGGCUUUCCAGAAGAAAAAGAGGAGUUUCAUGGGAACAGUUUCAUUGGGAACAGACAAAAAUAGAAGAUUAAUGGGAAGGACUUCACCCCAAGGCAGUCAGAAGUCAGGGAUACACAACACUUUUAAAGAUCAAUUUUACGUGAAAUAGUGCAUGUGCUCCAUCAAGCUUGUCCUCUUGCCUUUCUAGCACCACUCUUCAUCCCUUUCUUGUCUUGGAGUUUACCCCAAAGCUUGAGGAGGAGAAAGCCCCAGAGAGUAUGGGAUAGCCCUGUCUCAGAAUAGAAGGGCACAGAAAUGGGUGCAAGGCAUUCUUAUCCCCUUCAUUGAAGCUGACAUUGGAGGAUAGUGAGGAAUGAAACAGACUGUUGGCUGUAAGUUCAAAGUAGCAACAAGCUCUGUUUUUGUAGUGGCCAAAAAUCCACGUAGCCAGUGUCAGAGGCUAAGGAGGCCCAUAGAACCUCUGUCUUGUUUUUGAGCUACAUAUUUAGGUUUCUCUUGAGGUAUGCCUGUGGGAUUUUUUGUUGUUGUUGUUUUAUUUUGUUUUUCUUUGGUUUGAUUUUUUGUGGGCCACAUACACGGCAUAUAGAAGUUCCCAGUCUAGGGGUCAAAUUGGAGCUGCAGCUGUCAGCCUACACCAUAGCCACAGCAACACCAGAUCCAAGCCUCAUCUGUGACCUACAUCAAAGCUCACAGAAACACAGGAUCCCUAACCUACUGAGUGGGGCCAGGGAUCAAACCCACAUGCCCAUGGAUCCUAGCAGGGUUUGUUACCAUACAACAGGAACUCUGAUGUAAGCUUGUUGAAUUAGACAGAUAUUCAACCUGCGUUCUGAAGUUCUCAAAGCCAAUAUCUUACACGAGGAAUAGGUGGGCUAGUCCACUAAAGAUUCUGUUAUACUCUAUUACCCUUUGAAAAAACCUAUUAGGAAUAGUGUUGUUUUGUGAUUUUUAUUGGCUUUACUCAGCCUCUAGCUCAAAAAGAGAACAAGUGGCUUCAGGUAUAAAUAUAGACACCUGAUUACUGAUAUAAUAUCUACAUAAUACUGCUGUGAGAGUCAGAGUUGGUGUAUAAAUAAUUCAUGUAUAAAACAAAAAUUUCUCGUAGAGUAAAGUACAUUUGUGUUCUGCUCUCCUGCCUCUCCUUCUUUUUAAUUUUCAAAAAGCAUGUUUGGAUAGAUUACUGCAGUCCAUGUAAGAGGGUACACUCCCCUGAUCUUGGGAGCAAGCAGCCAUCAAUUUCCAAAUUGAUACUCCAGCUGCCUGACACAUGCCAGAAGUGUGCUUUCAUCCUUUCUUGGAAUAGAUGAUUCCAAUUUUUCCAGCCUCUCUGAUGGCCAUUUUUCACACCAGUGCUACUAAUAGUACUCAGACAAUUCUCAACAGAUUGCACAACUGGAAUGGCAGUGUUUGGGAUAUGAUUACCCAAUAAGUGUUUUUUGUUUGAUAAAGACUAUCAAAUAGUCAAAAGGUAGAGCUUAUGUUGUACUUUGAAUCUGUAUCUACUAAUAAACACAUUGUUUUUGUCAGAUACUAAUCCAGGGACAGGACAUAACCCAUGCUUUCUUAAUAAAAAAAAAAAGUUAAAAUUAAGGCACUUGUAAGAGUAAUAUUUUUUGCUAAGUUUUCACAAUCUAAUAACAUUUUUCUAAAACAAUGAGCAGGGAGUCAAAAUCUUGAACUCACUACUCACUUCCUUAUAUUCUCACACUAUUCCACACAUGUUUACAACUUAAAUUUGCCUUUUCUCCACAGGGCAGAACUAAGGGCACUCCUUUGCACAUCCCUGGUGUGGACGGUGAGUGGACCAAAUGCGAAGAUCUGUAAGGAGCAGGCAACUGCCUCCCAGUUGCUUAUGCCUCACUCUCCCAUUCUCCACUGUCCAGCUGCCUGUGUGAAGGCUGGCACUUGCCAACAUCACAGCCCAAGGACUACUGUGAGGUAAGCCUUUCUGUGCAAGUGGAGAGACAAUGAAAAAAAGUUGUUCAUCUACAGCUAGACCCUCAGGAGAGCAUAUGGUUGGUGUCUCCUGCCUAGUUAGGGGACCUGAGCUCACUCUACUUGGAAGGCAGACUUCAAGAGGGAGCCAGUUUAUUUAAUGUAGGAAAGUCAUUCUUCACCAAUUAAUAGUGGUCUCAUUUUGUUAAAUAUUUGAGAACAAGAGUGUAAACUUUUUCCGGGAAGCAGAAUCAAGUACUACAGAGUUUCCACAGUAGAAACCAUAUAAAUAGACAUCAAUUUGAUUGUUAAACUCCCAAAGGCACUGUCAUGCUCAGCCUUUUCCAAGGCUAGAUGGCUCUCAAAAAAUGUAUCUUGGCAUAGGUAGUAUUUUAGAGCCAGGAUGGAAAGGAACUUAGAGCUUAUCUGGCCCUAUCUACUUAUUUUACAUUUGAAGAAAAUAAAGUCCAUAGAGGAUACAUAUAUAUAUAGAUGAUUAAAUAAGAUAAUUCAUGUAGAUUGCUUGCCACAUUGACUAACAUGUGUUCAACAAAUAUUAGGUAUUAUUAUAUUGGUCUGGAGUUUGCUCUCUCUUUAAAUAUAUAGCCUUAAGAAUAUUCACUAUGGGCCUUAUUACUAUUCUUUCAUUCUCUUAUAUGGAUAUAUCACGAUUUUUAAAGUGGUUCUCAACUAAUGAGCAUUUAGGUUAUUUCUGAUGUUUUAAAUUUCAAAACAUAGGUCAUGAACAUCCUUAGAGACAUAUCCCCCACAACCUUGCUUGCACUGGAUAUAAUCAAUGCAGUAAAUUGAAUGUAAUAAGUCAUUUAAAUAUUUUUCAAUCCAAAAGAUUAAAAAAAGAUAAUUUGGUGUUGUUUUAAUCUGCAUUUAUGUCAUUAUCAUUGAGAUAGAACCCCUUUCCAUGUACUUCCAAAAAUGUGCCUUUUCUGUGUAUUUCAUAUCAUAUCAUUUGCUUAUUUUUCUAUGGGGUGUCCAUUUGUUAUUGACUUGUAGAAGCAAUUUAUUUAUUCAACAAAUACCGAGUGCCUUUAUAUAUCAGAUGUCCUUGCACUGAGGAUGCAACAGGGAGAAAUUUACUGGCCACCAUUUACUGAACAUUUACUAUAAACCAAAGUCAACAAUAAGUGAUUCUCACAAAAAUCAGUGAGCUCAGCACUGUUGCUAUUCUCACUGGGUUGUUACACUGAGAGGUGGAGAAUCCCAUAACUUGACCAGUGUCGUGUAGCUUGUAAAUGGCAGAGCCAGAGCUUCUGCACAGACUUAGCUAACUCUCUUUAUGAUCCUAGGAACUCUGAAUGAAGAUAGACCCAGACUUAACCAGAGGGAUGGUGGCCUGAGAGAAAAGGUUCUCCACAGCAAGGACCUUAGUUUGAAAAUAAUGCUGAGAAAAACUAUGGAGUAAUGAUGAGGAUAGUUCAAUUAAGAACAUUAACGCAUUAUCAACAAAUGUCAUAAACAUUUCCUCCAAGUUCGGUUGCUUGAGAGUUUUUGGGGAAUUUUUGGAAUAUUUUUGGUACAGAUAGAAAUUUAAAAAUCACAACUUAUUUGUCAGAUAUUUUCCUUUAUGGUUUCUUGAUUUUCUAUUUAAAUUGUUUUUGUUUUGUUUUGUUUUUGUCAUUUUAGGGCCACACUCACAGCAUAUGGAGGUUCCCAGGCCAGGAGUCAAAUCAUAGCUGUAGCCACUGGCCUACACCACAGGCACAGCCACAUCAGAUCUGAGCCACAUCUGCAACCUACACCACAGCUCAUGGCAACACUGGAUCCUUAGCCCACUGAGCGAGGCCAGGGAUCAAACUGCAUCCUUAUGGAUGCUAGUUAGAUUCGUUUCCUCUAAGCCACAAUGGGAACUCCUAUGCUUAGAUAUUUAAAUCACUUGGUAUUUAUUUGGGGGCUGACUCUAGAUAAUCCAAAUAAACCUUUUUCUAAGUAGAAAUGAGUCCCAGCUCAUUCAUGGCCUUUAUUAUUUGUAGUCACUAAAUAAUGUGCUCCUUAAAGGAUUUUAGGUUGAGAGAAGGGCAUUGAUAAAAAGUCUACCUCAAAGGAUUUUGAUAUUUCACUUGCUUUUGAGAUGAUUUUAAUGUGUCUUUCUGUAGUUGGGCACAUUAGUAAGUACAUGUGGAAAGUCUAGUGAUCAGCAACAAAUUGAUUUCUUCCUGGGCCAGUUUGUCGGAAGAGCAAGAAUUUGUACUUUGGAAUUAGGUAACUCAAGUUGAAACCCUAGAUACAGGCCAAAUGACUCUUAGCAAUUAUUUAAACUUUAUGAAACUCAAUCUCCCUGCCUGGAAAAAUGGAGUAGAAGAUAUCUAUCUUAUAAGGUAAAGAUAAUUAAGAUAAUGUGGUGGGGGGAACUCAGCUCAGUACUUGGCCAAAAACAGGUCCGUAAUUAAUAUUAAUUUUGGUUAUGUUUAUGAUAUUUAUUGUCAUAUUACAUAUGAUUCAUAAAUAUUGGUCUCCUAAUCCCCCCAGAUAUUUUUGUCUAUUAGAUAAGGACAUCAGCUAUUACACACUUAAUCAAAUAAAUGGUUUCAUACAUACAAUUCUAAUUUAAGCGAUGAAAAAAAUCAAUAAGAACUUAAAAGCUCAGGUGCUGUAAACAAUUAGCCUGGUUGACACAUAUGUAACAAAUGUAAGGGAGGAACCCAUUAAAACAGAAGCAUCAGCUAUGCUGUAAAAAAAGAAACAAAGACCUUAUGAAAAUAAAAUACUUUCCAAAUCACAUUAUUAAUUUCUGAAGUAACUUCCAGAGGUUCAUACAAAAGCUAGAUGCAAAUAAGCUACAGAAUUCAAUUGACUAUAGAUAAUGGCAAGAGGCUAGAUAAUCUGUCAACUAAAUGGAUAUAAUUAUAGUAGAUUUAAAUGGAAAUGGUAGGGUUUCCUCUUUCACCCAGGGAGCAGAUUUACUCUCCCACAUGAAACAACCAAAAGG
rnacentral:lncRNA from 1 species